rnacentral:SRP_RNA from 1 species
GCUGGGCAUGGUGAAGUGUGUCUGUAGUCCCAGCUACUCAGGAGGCUGAGGCAGGAGGAUCGCUUGAGCCCAGGAAGUUGAGGCUGCAGUGAGCUAUGAUUGGGCCACUGCACUCUAGCCUGGGCAACAGAGUGAGGCCCUGUCUCAA